AUCGAGGCCCCCUCGCACGAACCGGGAGCGAGGCCUCCUUGCGAAAAAAAAUAUCUGACGAUCCAGGCUGCCCUCGAUCGUCUCGCUACGAGGACGAGAACCAUGCCCCAGCCGCCAUAGUGGAGCCCUACGCCGCCGCCGAGAUCGGAGAGGAGCCGCCGCCGCCGAGGUUCGAGAGGAGCUGGCCACCACGACCUCCCUCCCCAGGCGGCCGCCACCACCCCCUCCCCAAGCAGCCAUGUACAGCAGGGCGGCGCCCACGCGCCUGGCCUAUGUAGGUCUCGGCCUCCCUCCUCCCUUCGUCCAAGGCCAGGAGCUCCCCCUCCCCGACCCGAUCUGGCGGAGAGAGGGCCAGGCCUUGCCACUCCGGUGGUCGCUGUGGCCAGAUCUGUCCGGGGUAGUCGCCGUAGAGCCUCUAUGGCGGCGGAGUAGCAGCAGCCCGACAGAAGAGUGAUUGCUGCACUGGCUUUUGGCUAUGGAUGCAAGUUGGGAACUUAUUCAGUGAUUUGAGGGUGCAGGUAGGGAUGAUGCUGCGGAUGGGAUGGGAAGAUGUGUGUGUGUGCUAGCUGCUUCACAUACGACUCAGAGAAAGAAUUGCUUUGCAGGUACACACUUGCUGCAAACUGAUGUAUUGAACUUUCAGGGAUUUUGAUUGGUCGCCCAAAUAACCCAUUCUCCUUUUGUUGAUAUUUAUGAAGGAGAUCAUUAUUUCUCUUUUAGUUUCAGGUUACCAACAUCACGAAUUUCAUACUUAUGGAGUGGAGCCACCAAACAAUUUAUGAGAUUUCCGCCAUGGACGCCGCCUCGCUCAUGGGCUCCUCCUCCGCCGACGCGCGCACCGACGGGGAGCACCGGAUGGGCAUCACCAUCAUGGGCGUCUGCUACGACGGCAGCGUCCUCGCCGCUGACACUCAGGACCAGCACCGGUACCCCCCCCCUCGCGGAUCCAACAGCAGCGGCUAGGUCAGGGUCGGAGAUGGCGCAUCGGCCAUCCGAUUCCGCCGGUCGUAGAUCAAACAGAGGGCGUGAUAAAGUCCAGCAGAAGUGGUGGCUGGGAUUUUUACUGUUAAUUCGAUCUGCAAAACAGUGAUCAAUAUAGUAUAUGUGCAGUAAAAUAGACAUGUUGCUGAUAGUGUUGUAGUAGUGUGUGAUUUGGUUGCAUAGUUUUCUAAUGGAAACAAGUGAAAAACUCUUUGAUUUUCUGAUUUCUUUAUGCUUGCAGAGAGGUUCCACGACUUCGGUUUGGCUAUCAUCAAAAUUGGAGGAGAGCCCGAUGCAUUGGAGAGCAUCAUCCGUGAGUUCCACAAGAUCGAAUUGAGGAGGCAUUAUAACCUGGCAUCAUUUGGAUGACUUUGUCAGUAGGAAGAAUGGCUAACAUGCCUGUUAAAGCUAGAUAAACGCGUAUUGAAGGAACUGGGGUAUGUCCGCCAUGUUGAACACCCUCACAAUGACGGGUACCAUACAAUGUUAGCGAGGACAGUGAUUGGGGGAUUGAUAUUUUCGAAGUAAAGAGGUGCUUGGAGGAGGCACGCGUCGCAGGUUUGACUGUUUGGGCUAUGGUGAUCAUAAACCCCGGAUAACCGACGGAACAGGUACUUUCUGUGACCAACCAGGAGGAGAUAGUAGAAUUUUGUCGAAAAGAAGGUAUACCAAGACAAGCUCUAUAUGGAGGACAUGAAGUUCAAUUCUUUCAGGAAAGUUGCCAGAUCACUUGGGUAUGACGAGAAUGGGUACUCUGGAGUAUGUGGCAGAAGGGGAAGCUACAUGUUGAUAUGUAAAAUUCCCUUCACGACUCGUUUAGGAAUAACAGAGUUUUGGAGAUGAUGUGAUGGGUGAGAUUCGCAAGGUGGCUUCUGUGACUCUUUGCCCCAACAUAAAUGGUGACUUGCGAUGGAUCCACCGAAGAUCUGCGAUUGACAUUUUUAUUGGACCACUGGGUGAGCAUUUGCAACAAAGAGCCAGGGAGUAAGCUGGGAGCGGACAAACAUAAUGCCCUGAACAUGAGUUUGUCCUUGCAUAAUUAUCCAUGUCUGAUGGUAGGAAGAGACAGGAUCAGAUCGCUCACCAGUUAUGAAGAUGUGGUAGUACCGUAGUAGGGUGUGGUAGAUGAACAUGUCUUUAUUUUCUGAAUCGCUUAAUAUUAUAUGAUAUUGUACUGACAAGUAGGAGGUGAUUGCUGAUGGGUGAUUCUAGAUUCUUGAGUGAAUACUAGCUACCAUGUUAUCCUAAGUGCUGUCAACUAUUCAAUUACAAAUAAAAACUCAAGAACGUACUUAGUCUACCACAAAUUGGGAUUUUUUUUGCCUCAAAUUUAGUCUGAUACAUUUUCCUUAACGUGACACUCUUUUUAGAGUUAACCCAACAUUUUUCUGUUCCAUCGUAAUCAACUAACUUUGAUAUGCAUGGGUUCAAUGCUAAACAAAGGAGGCACACUUCUCUAGCCUCGAGGUGGUAUCACUAAUAUGUGCCAUGAACUAUACGCAAUUCAGGUUAUGUGACCAGACACUAUAUUUUAUCCCCAUCAUUAUCAGUAAGCAAUGCAUAAUUUUUCUUUGCUCAUCGUCCUACUAA